UACGAAGGGGGCUAGCGUUGCUCGGAAUUACUGGGCGUAAAGCGCACGUAGGCGGCUUUCUAAGUCGGGGGUGAAAUCCUGGAGCUCAACUCCAGAACUGCCUUCGAUACUGGAGAGCUUGAGUCCGGGAGAGGUGAGUGGAACUGGCGAGUGUAGAGGUGAAAUUCGUAGAUAUUCGCAAGAACACCAGUGGCGAAGGCGGCUCACUGGCCCGGUACUGACGCUGAGGUGGCGAAAGCGUGGGGAGCAAACAGG
rnacentral:rRNA from 1 species